rnacentral:rRNA from 1 species
UGAGGAAUAUUGCACAAUGGAGGAAACUCUGAUGCAGCGAUGCCGUGUGCGGGAAGAAGGGGCUUUGCCUUGUAAACCGCUGUCGGAUGGGACGAAAGCCCGGGUUGCCCGGGUGGGACGGUACCAUUAAAGGAAGGGACGGCUAACUACGUGCCAGCAGCCGCGGUAAUACGUAGGUCCCGAGCGUUGUCCGGAAUUACUGGGUGUAAAGGGUGCGCAGGCGGUUUUGUGCGUCAGAAGUGAAAUAUCACGGCUCAACCGUGAGGGUGCUUUUGAUACGGCAAGACUUGAGUACGAGAGAGGAUGAUAGAAUUCCUGGUGUAGCGGUGAAAUGCGUAGAUAUCAGGAGGAAUACCGGUGGCGAAGGCGGUCAUCUGGCUCGUAACUGACGCUGAGGCACGAAAGUGUGGGGAGCAAACAGG